AGCAUAAACUCAGGCUUCCUGGUGGUUCAUUGGUAAAGAAUCUGCCUGCAGUGCAGGAGACUUGCAGGAGACACAGGUUCUAUCCCUGGAUUGGGAAGAAAGGAAAUGGCAGCCCACUCCAGUAUUCUUGCCUGGAAAAUCCCAUGAACAGAGGAGCUUGGCGGGCUACAGUUUAUGCAGUUGCAAAGAGUCGGACAUGAAUGAGCAACUAAACAACAGAAUUGAUGCUUUUAAACUGUGGAUUUGGAGAAGACUCUUGAGAGUCCCUUGGACAGCAAGGAGAUCCAAACAGUCCAUCCUAAAGGAAAUCAGUCUUGAAUAUUCAUUGGAAGGACUGAUGCUGAAGCUGAAACUCCCAUACUUUGGCCAUCUGAUAGAAAAGAUCCUGAUGCUGGGAAAGAUUGAAGGCCAAGUGACUUCCCACCGUUACAAGAGUCCAGGAAGUAGGGCCGGGCCUGAAAUCUUGAGAUGCUGUUGGAGCUGCACCACUGUGCCAUGCCAGGCCUGCUUCUUCGUGCAUCUCUUGAACAAUCCAUGUGAUUCUGCUCUGUCAUCUUCUACCUCGCUCCUCUCAACUACCCCGGGGGCUGCCAGAGACCUGCUUCUCCCGGGAA
ensembl:lncRNA